UACGGAGGGUGCAAGCGUUAAUCGGAAUGAUUGGGCGUAAAGAGCGCGUAGGUGGUUUACUAAGUGAGUUGUGAAAUAUCCGGGCUCAACCUGGGGAUGUCAACUCAAACGGGUAGACUAGAGUACAGUAGAGGGUUGUGGAAUUUCCGGUGUAGCGGUGAAAUGCGUAGAGAUCGGAAAGAACACCAACGGCGAAAGCACUCUGCUGGGCCGACACUGACACUGAGAGACGAAAGCUAGGGGAGCGAAUGGG
rnacentral:rRNA from 1 species